AGCAGCCGCGGUAAUUCCAGCUCCAAUAGCGUAUAUUAAAGUUGUUGCAGUUAAAAAGCUCGUAGUUGAAUUUCGGGACUAAUAUGUCGGUCGUACUUUGUACGUACUAGCAUUAUUGGUUUCUCCCUUCUGACGAACCACGAUGUCAUUAAUUUGGUGUCAUGGGAAAUCAGGACUGUUACUUUGAAAAAAUUAGAGUGUUUAAAGCAAGCUCGCGCUUGAAUACAUUAGCAUGGAAUAAUGAAAUAGGACGUUUGAUUCUAUUUUGUUGGUUUCUAGGAUCGACGUAAUGAUUAAUAGGGAUAGUUGGGGGCAUUAGUAUUCAAUUGUCAGAGGUGAAAUUCUUGGAUUUAUUGAAGACUAACUACUGCGAAAGCAUUUGCCAAGGAUGUUUUCAUUAAUCAAGAACGAAAGUUAGGGGAUCGAAGACGAUCAGAUACCGUCGUAGUCUUAACCAUAAACUAUGCCGACUAGGGAUCGGAUGAUGUUAAUUUUUAAUGACUCAUUC
rnacentral:rRNA from 1 species